rfam:Sorghum bicolor cultivar BTx623 chromosome 3, whole genome shotgun sequence.
GUAGUCGGAUUCACAUCAAUCCACAUGUAUUGGGAUGGAUUGGAGUAAAACUUGAACUAAAUUCCACCUCAAUCCACUUCAACACAUGUGGAUUGAGGUGAAUCCGACA